CUGCGGAAGGAUCAUAUAAAUGGUCUACGUUUUUUAAGUAGACGUUAAUAAUCCUACCCUUUGUGAUUGUUUGUUUUGAAAUAAUUUUUUUAAAAUAUUGAUGUCUUCCUGUUGAAUGGUUGUUAUGGACAGUGAUCGCAGGGAGUGUCAUAAUUUUAAAAAGACCUUUUUUUAAAUUAAACCUUUUUGUAUUAUUGUCUAAAAUUAUUUUUAUAAUAUAAAACAACUUUGACAAUGGAUCUCUUGGUUCUGCAACGAUGAAGAACGCAGCAAAAUGCGAUAAGUAGGUGAAUUGCAGAUACGUGAAUCAUCGAAUCUUCGAACGCAUAUUGCACUUUUUUAGUUUACUAAAAAGUAUGUCUGUUGAUAUCAGUAAAUAUUCUCAUAAAAAACAUUGUUUUUUAUGUUAUGAGUGUUUACAACGAUACAAUUGUUUCACUUUAAAUUUUUUAAAUUUGAAUUUUCUAAUUUUAAAAUAAAAUUGAUAAAAUUUCCGUAAAAAGGAAUAACCUAAAAAUUUUAGUUUUUGAUUAGAAUUUUUCAUUAUAAAGGAAAAUUUAAUAAUAACUUGAUCAAUCAGAUAAGAGUACCGCUGAACUUAAGCAUAUCAAUAAGCGGAGGAAAGAAACUAACAAGGAUUCCCUUAGUAACGGCGAGUGAAGCGGGAAGAGCUCAAAUUUGAAAUCUUCAAGGUUUUACCUUGACGAAUUGUAGUUUAAAGAAGUGUUUUCUGUGAAGUUUGGUAAAAGUUUUGGAAUAGGACAUCAUAGAGGUGAGAAUCCGUAUUUGACCAUUAUUUCAGCUGUGUGAUACACUUUCAAAGAGUCGGAUUGUUUGGAAUGCAGUCCAAAAAUGGGUGUAAUUCAUCUAAAGCAAAUAUUGGCGAGAGACGAUAGCGAACAGUACCGUGAGGGAAAGAUGAAAAACUUGAAAAGGAGUUAAACAGUACGUGAAAUUGUCAAAGGGAAGGUUGACACAGUGUUGUUUCUCGAAAAUAAUUAAAAAAGUUGGAUUUUGUGUUGUAUUGACCUUAACAGCUUGCUUCACUCUUUUCCUGCUUUUUUUAAUGCACUUUUCGUUUACAAGUCACAUCAGUUUCUUUUGUUGUAAAAGGUCAUUGAAGUGGCUUUCUCUUCGGAGAGUGUUUAUAGCUUUGAUCUGCAAUCGGAGAGACUGAGUUGCAGCGUAGAUCUUCGGGUUAGAUACUUGUGCUAAGCUACAGUUUCAUAGAAACUGUUGACUAUGUUAGUCUUGUGACUUACCCU
rnacentral:misc_RNA from 1 species